UUGACAGUUUUGUGGAUUUCUAUUGAUUAUGUGUUACUUGAUUAUGCACGUUACAAGUAUGGAACACGCCAGGGAUCAUAGAGAAUCAAUGCAUGCUUAUGUUAGGCAAGAGAGUAUGGAGAGGCUAACAAUGGAGAGGGGGAGGGGAGUGCUUAUGAGUGGUGGCAGAGGUAGAGGUAGGGGCAAGGGAAGAUGACGAGGGAACAACUCAGGAUAACGAUCUUGAGCCAUAGUACGUGCCCCAUAUGGAGGGUGAUGCUGAGCAGCAGGAGGAGGGCGAUCUUGAGUAGUAGGUGGGUGUGGAGCCAGAGCCAGAGCAACUUGAUGACUAUCCGGGUGGCCCACACGACUUGGUUGUGCUGACCAUGUAUCAUAUUCACGUGGUCAGGAUGGCGGCCGAUGGAGUGUGGCGUAGCAAUUUAAAAUGUGUAAACAACAAGAAGAAGAUCGCAGCAAUACAUGAUAAAGAAAACAUGGCUUGGAUGGCAGCACAAUGGUUUAAGGAUGACCUAAGAGCCACCUGUCUUCAGUGGUUGUAGGAUACCAACUACAGUCAAAUUGACCACGAGCUGUGUUUUGUCUUUGUUGAGAGAUGUUACUAAGAGACAUCAAGCUUUCAUCUUCCAUAUGGGGAGAAGAUAAUGACACUUAAUGAUGUGUCCAGUCUGCUGCAUCUCCCCAUUAAGGGCAUGCUCGUGGCCCACGUGGGUUCAGUGCCUAGGAUUGAGGCUAUUGAGACUAUGGUGCAGUUGAUGGGGGCUGAUGUGGACCAAGCAUGGUAUCAGUUGGAAAGGACAAAUGGGGCCUAUGCACGAUUUAGCUGGUUGAAUGAUAUUUUCAAGGAGCGUCUUCAGAAGGCAUAGCAGGCCUAUAUGUUGGUCAUUUGGCUGAGAUGCAGGAGAAGCGGAAACAGUCUUUCCGCAUAUAUUUGCUAUACUUGAUGGGUAUCAUGCUCUUCACUGACAAGAGUGCCACCUAUGUGGAUGUCACUUAUUUGAGGUACUUCAGAGAUUUUAAGUCUGUCUUUGAUUAUGCAUGGGGACCCGCUGCCCUUGCACACCUAUACAUGUAGCUUAACAAUGCCUCCCAUUAUAAGACCAGACAUGAUACUUAUCUUUGUUGCAGGUGUUUCAUCACUUCAAAGGUAUGGGAGUCAGGGAUGCAUGAGGUGGAUAUCUGGACCAACAACAUUCAUGUUCAUAGCCGUGUUGGCUACACUAGACGAUUAAAGAGAGCAUAUGGAUCAGUUGGAUCUAGCGAAUGUUAUCAUGUCCCUGUAUGCUGAACACCGUCAAACAUGUUCAUUCGAGCGGGUCAUCCUUUAUUCUGGAUGGCUCAUAUACGAUACUCGUAGGGUGAGAUAUCUUUCAGAGCAGGUGCUUCGCUAGUUUGGGUUUGUCCAAACCGUCCCCAGACAUCCAUGUGAGAAUGCAUCUCCUCAUACAACCUUAUCGAAGAUCAGCUACCACCAUGCUCACCAUCUUGAUCAUAUGCUGUCAGGUCAAGACUCAUGGCUUGCUGCUAUGACUGGUAAUGAGACGUCACAAGGAUACAUUUGAUGGUUUUAUUCCAUCUCACAUCCAAACAAGGUUGUUCAUGUCCCGAGGCCACCCGAGAAGGAGGCCCUUGAUGAAAUCGCCGCUGAGUAGGAGGGAAAGCAUGAUUACCUAGACCUAGCCGGAAUGUUGGGCAGUAUAAAAGACCAUCUCUAUUCCGUCAUGGUUAGUAGUGUGGUGGUGCAAGGUAUUGAUGAAUGGAGUCAUUUGGAAGCAAUUCUAGUGGAGGUUCAUGGAGGACGAGUUUAUUGCCGUAGACGUGGUGGUAGGGGUGGGGGGUGACAUAACUUAGUUGUAUGGUGUUGUAAUAUCUUGACUCAUGUUUGAUGUUUUGCCUU